rnacentral:rRNA from 1 species
AUGAACAGCCUAAGUGCCCGAAGAACAAAGAUAGUACCCCCAAGCCCAAGUUUGAUGCACGGAUUAAAGGAAAAACUCCCAAAUUCACUCCUUCUCGAACUUCUGCCCUGCUCCCUACAUUUAGAGGUUUUUAUUUUGUUCACCAUUCUCCGUUCCAUUGAUGCAGAUUUUAUAUGUCACCAGUUUUUCUCAUACUGCUGCUGCUCCUCAGCUCAAGGAAAUUCCAGUCAUCAACAAAACACUUCUGGUUCCUCAGGUGGAGAAGUCAACCCUAUAUACUCUGAGCUUUCAUUUGUUCUCCAUGAAAAUUUGUCCCAAGAUGACUAUUCGGAUCUCGACAGCACGGACAUAGUUCACAAUGUUGUAUAUGACAUAAUUCAGAAAGGUGGAGAAGCCGGAAGAAUCGCCAAGGGAUCCAAAAAGUUAAAGCUGGAUAGAGGGAUUCUUUUGGAUAACUAUGUUCAAAGGGGUCCUAUAUUAGUGGAUGCACAAUCACAGUCUUUGUUGACCCACUCAAAGCGAUCAAAAAGACACAUGUCACUGAAGCAACAUAAGAAAUGUGGGUCAUUUGAUUUACAUGAUACAUUCCGCAGGUUUGACCUCUAUAAGCCAAUACAUGAAAUGUGGAAAGAGUAUAUGUGA